rnacentral:snRNA from 1 species
ACGGUUGAAGCUGGUACAAUACACAAUCCCCUCGCCUUUUACUAGGGGAUUCAGUGUACCCGCUUCGUUACAAACCGUUCAUCAAUCUUUGGACGCCCGACUUCCUCGUGAA